rnacentral:rRNA from 1 species
GGGGAAUUUUCCGCAAUGGGCGAAAGCCUGACGGAGCAAUACCGCGUGAGGGAGGAAGGCUCUUGGGUUGUAAACCUCUUUUCUCAGGGAAGAACAAAAUGACGGUACCUGAGGAAUAAGCAUCGGCUAACUCCGUGCCAGCAGCCGCGGUAAUACGGAGGAUGCAAGCGUUAUCCGGAAUUAUUGGGCGUAAAGCGUCCGCAGGUGGCAAUUCAAGUCUGCUGUCAAAGGUUCUGGCUCAACCAGAGACAGGCAGUGGAAACUGAAUAGCUAGAGUGCGGUAGGGGCAGAGGGAAUUCCCAGUGUAGCGGUGAAAUGCGUAGAGAUUGGGAAGAACACCGGUGGCGAAAGCGCUCUGCUAGGCCGUAACUGACACUCAUGGACGAAAGCUAGGGGAGCGAAUGGGAUUAGAUACCCCAGUAGUCCUAGCCGUAAACGAUGGAUACUAGGCGUUGCUCGCAUCGACCCGAGCAGUGCCGUAGCUAACGCGUUAAGUAUCCCGCCUGGGGAGUACGCGCGCAAGCGUGAAACUCAAAGGAAUUGACGGGGGCCCGCACAAGCGGUGGAGUAUGUGGUUUAAUUCGAUGCAACGCGAAGAACCUUACCAGGACUUGACAUGUCGCGAAUCUUUGGGAGACUAAAGAGUGCCUUCGGGAGCGCGAACACAGGUGGUGCAUGGCUGUCGUCAGCUCGUGUCGUGAGAUGUUGGGCUAAGUCCCGCAACGAGCGCAACCCUCGUUCUUAGUUGCCAGCAUUAAGUUGGGCACUCUAGGGAGACUGCCGGUGAUAAACCGGAGGAAGGUGGGGAUGACGUCAAGUCAGCAUGCCCCUUACGUCCUGGGCUACACACGUACUACAAUGCUACGGACAAAGGGUCGCAAGUUAGCGAUGACAAGCAAAUCCCAUAAACCGUGGCUCAGUUCAGAUUGCAGGCUGCAACUCGCCUGCAUGAAGGCGGAAUCGCUAGUAAUCCCAGAUCAGCACGCUGGGGUGAAUACGUUCCCGGGCCUUGUACACACCGCCCGUCACACCAUGGAAGUUGGCCACGCCCGAAGUCGUUACCCUAACCGCAAGGAGGGGGAUGCCGAAGGCAGGGCUGAUGACUGGGGUGAAGUCGUAACAAGGUAGCCGUACCGGAAGGUGUGGCUGGAUCACCUCCUU